CAGUGGCAAGAAAAAAUGGCGAACGUCGAGUUGAACGUCGACGACCUCAUACAAAGAUUGUUGGAAGUCAGAGGAUGCCGACCAGGAAAGACCGUCGUAAUGACAGAGGGCGAAGUGCGGGGCCUUUGCCUGAAGUCAAGGGAGAUUUUUCUUCAGCAGCCGAUCCUACUCGAACUGGAGGCGCCGCUUAAAAUCUGCGGCGAUAUUCACGGCCAAUACACCGAUUUAUUGCGAUUGUUCGAGUAUGGCGGUUUCCCGCCCGAAGCGAAUUAUUUGUUCCUCGGAGACUACGUCGAUCGAGGUAAACAAUCGCUGGAAACGAUAUGCCUGCUGCUCGCGUACAAGAUCAAAUACCCGGAGAAUUUUUUCUUAUUACGUGGCAACCACGAGUGCGCCAGCAUAAAUAGGAUAUACGGGUUCUACGACGAGUGCAAGAGGCGGUACAACGUGAAACUAUGGAAGACGUUCACCGAUUGCUUCAACUGUUUACCGAUCGCCGCAAUUAUCGACGAAAAGAUAUUCUGUUGUCAUGGUGGUCUCAGUCCGGAUCUUCAGAACAUGGAACAAAUCAGAAGAAUUAUGCGUCCAACUGAUGUACCUGAUACUGGUCUUCUUUGUGACUUAUUGUGGUCAGAUCCAGACAAGGAAGUGCAGGGGUGGGGUGAAAACGACCGAGGUGUUUCUUUCACGUUCGGUCCCGACGUAGUAUCAAAGUUCUUAAAUCGCCAUGAUAUGGAUUUAAUAUGCAGAGCACAUCAAGUAGUCGAAGAUGGUUACGAAUUUUUCGCGAAACGGCAGUUGGUCACCCUCUUCUCGGCGCCGAAUUAUUGCGGAGAAUUCGACAACGCCGGUGGAAUGAUGAGCGUCGAUGAAACCUUGAUGUGCAGUUUUCAGAUAUUGAAACCGUCAGAGAAAAAAGCAAAAUACCAAUAUAUAGGGAUAAAUACAGGACAAGGCGCAAGACCAUCUACACCACAAAGGAAUCCAGCCAAAAAGAAAUGACAGCCUCGACCUUACUUUUUGACAUCAACACCAUUAGUGGAUGCUCUUGUGUUAGCAUGAAGACGUCAAGAGAAGUGUGUAAGAUUACCUCUUCCUUGAUUGCAUCUUAAUAAGAUAAGUAAUAUAAUAAUUAAAUGUGACACUUUUCUUUCAUUAACUCGAUUAAGGAUCGCUCCUGUAUCGUCUGGGAAUUAUUAUUUACCCGCACCUUCCAGAUGCCAGGUGGUCCUUGCGGCCAUUAGCGUUUACGAAACAAACGUCGACAUUCUCAUUUUAACUAUUUAUUGCUUCCAUGUUAAAUGUUCUGUGUAAUUAUUAGACUCCGCAGAUUAUUCUAAAUAUUCGUCCGUAACUAUUACUGUCAUCGCUUUGCAGCUAAUUUAAUUAUCGUUUAACAAAAACGCGGCUGCGUCAUGUACAUAGAUACUCUUUUAUUUUGCUCUAAACUUCAGCUCUUCUUUCUUUGUUUUGUUUCUUCUUCGUUUUGUCACGCCUACGCAGGCUUGAAAUACUUCUUUAGUUCACAGUAUUCUGAAAUAUCGACAGCACGUUCCAAGGUAUGCUGUAGAGAUGGUAGAUACCGUUUAUUCUCCAAGAAACAAAGUAAAGAACACAAAAAAAAA